rnacentral:rRNA from 1 species
AAGCUCAGUAACACGUGGCCAAACUACCCUGUGGAUGGGAACAAUCUCGGGAAACUGAGGCUAAUUCCCAAUAACGCUCCACCCCUGGAACGGGCGGAGCUGGAAACGCUACGGCGCCACAGGAUGUGGCUGCGGUCGAUUAGGUAGACGGUGGGGUAACGGCCCACCGUGCCAAUAAUCGGUACGGGUUGUGAGAGCAAGAGCCCGGAGACGGAAUCUGAGACAAGAUUCCGGGCCCUACGGGGCGCAGCAGGCGCGAAACCUUUACACUGUACGCAAGUGCGAUAAGGGGACUCCGAGUGUGAAGGCAUAGAGCCUUCACUUUUGUACACCGUAAGGUGGUGUACGAAUAAGGGCUGGGCAAGACCGGUGCCAGCCGCCGCGGUAAUACCGGCAGCCCGAGUGAUGGCCGAUAUUAUUGGGCCUAAAGCGUCCGUAGCUGGCCGGACAAGUCCGUUGGGAAAUCUGUUCGCUUAACGAGCAGGCGUCCAGCGGAAACUGUUCGGCUUGGGACCGGAAGACCUGAGGGGUACGUCCGGGGUAGGAGUGAAAUCCUGUAAUCCUGGACGGACCACCGGUGGCGAAAGCGCCUCAGGAGGACGGAUCCGACAGUGAGGGACGAAAGCUAGGGUCUCGAACCGGAUUAGAUACCCGGGUAGUCCUAGCUGUAAACGAUGCCCGCUAGGUGUGGCGCAGGCUACGAGCCUGCGCUGUGCCGUAGG